ACGGGCAGACUAGAGUGCAGUAGGGGAGACUGGAAUUCCUGGUGUAGCGGUGGAAUGCGCAGAUAUCAGGAGGAACACCGAUGGCGAAGGCAGGUCUCUGGGCUGUUACUGACGCUGAGGAGCGAAAGCAUGGGGAGCGAACAGGAUUAGAUACCCUGGUAGUCCAUGCCGUAAACGUUGGGCACUAGGUGUGGGGGACAUUCCACGUUUUCCGCGCCGUAGCUAACGCAUUAAGUGCCCCGCCUGGGGAGUACGGCCGCAAGGCUAAAACUCAAAGGAAUUGACGGGGGCCCGCACAAGCGGCGGAGCAUGCGGAUUAAUUCGAUGCAACGCGAAGAACCUUACCAAGGCUUGACAUAUACCGGAUCGUUCCAGAGAUGGUUCUUCCCCUUUGGGGUCGGUAUACAGGUGGUGCAUGGUUGUCGUCAGCUCGUGUCGUGAGAUGUUGGGUUAAGUCCCGCAACGAGCGCAACCCUCGUUCCAUGUUGCCAGCACGUGAUGGUGGGGACUCAUGGGAGACUGCCGGGGUCAACUCGGAGGAAGGUGGGGGAUGACGUCAAAUCAUCAUGCCCCUUAUGUCUUGGGCUUCACGCAUGCUACAAUGG
rnacentral:rRNA from 1 species